UAUUCACUCAGAAAAAACAAAUGUUUUAAUGAGAACAUAAUAUUUGUUAUCAAAUUCUGCAUAAUGAUUCCUUUGCAAGGUCCAUUUUAAAUACUUUUUCACACACUUGCUCAUGCAUCUCAGGGUUGUCGCAAGCCUUGUAGUUAACAAACGAUUUUCUGUCCUACAAUGUCCUCUGUGACAACUGCAACAGCAGGGUGAUUGUUAGACAGCUCUGCAAGGAGUCUGAUACAGGAGCUACACCCCCUGCCAUGACAUGGAACUGAACAUAAGCCUGCUUGAUAGCUGUCACUCUCCAAACGCCAUCUGCAAGUCAGAUGGAACCCAGUAAUUAGGGUUACCACAUUUAGUGUUGGGGGUAUUUUUAUACAACCAGGAUUUAAUCAUUAAACAAUAAUAAUAUUCCUGUGAAAGUAAAGUAGUAUUUAUUAAUGUGAAUUUUUUUCUUUUUUUUUUUUUUUUUUUUUUUUUUUUUCAUUUUCUCAGUUGCAGCUUGCUUUCUUUGUGCGAGCCCUUGUGAAUCGUGAUACUUUGUGUGUUCAGCACAACACCUACCCACCAAGAUGAGUUGGCUACAUAUGAUCAUCUACAGGAAGAGCCAAACCCUGCUGCCACGGUGCGGUCGUAGAACAAGAUUAGAUGUCAGAUCAAAGCAAAACCAAGAACAAGAAGAUGCAACGUAGUUCAUCAAGCAUGCCAAAGGUUUGGGAUUGUCUACUUUCUGUUAAGUUCUUUUAAAAUGGUCCAUGGUAACAUUGAGGAUCAUAGAAGCAGGAGCACAAACCGGGCAUGUGAUUGGAUGUGCCUAAAGGGUAACAGAGCCACUGCAUAGUGGUGGAAGGCUUAACCAACCAGUCACGGGCUCAAAGGAAUACCAAGUAUUGUGUUGUACCGCAGGUGGAUGCCUGAUGCUGAUACUGCUCUGAGCUGGCCUCUGUUGAUUUGUGCUCCAAUUAUUGUUCUUGUAGACGUUGCAUUAGCAAGGAUGAACGGAGGGUUUGUUGGUGCCCCCAUUUAGAGUAACGUUGACUCUGUUAAACCACUUUUUGGGCUUAAAAUGCAACAAGUUUUCUGUAGUACGGGGUAUACAAACUAUGUGACAUCACCCACACAAGAUGUGGAGCCAUGUAAGAUGUAGACAGCGAUGCUCUGAUGAGAGCAGAAGAAGAAGAGUGUUGGGAGUUUGCCCAGUGAUUGGUGGGUUGCUGGUUUGAACCCAGGCUCUUGCAGUCGUUGUGUCCUCGGGCAAGACGUUUCAUCCUCCUAGCUCGCUGAUGGUGGUGGUUAGUAUC
rnacentral:lncRNA from 1 species